rnacentral:rRNA from 1 species
GACGAACGCUGGCGGCGUGCUUAACACAUGCAAGUCGAACGGAAAGGCCCUGCUUUUGUGGGGUGCUCGAGUGGCGAACGGGUGAGUAACACGUGAGUAACCUGCCCUUGACUUUGGGAUAACUUCAGGAAACUGGGGCUAAUGCCGGAUAGGAGCUCCUGCUGCAUGGUGGGGGUUGGAAAGUUUCGGCGGUUGGGGAUGGACUCGCGGCUUAUCAGCUUGUUGGUGGGGUAGUGGCUUACCAAGGCUUUGACGGGUAGCCGGCCUGAGAGGGUGACCGGCCACAUUGGGACUGAGAUACGGCCCAGACUCCUACGGGAGGCAGCAGUGGGGAAUAUUGCACAAUGGGCGGAAGCCUGAUGCAGCAACGCCGCGUGCGGGAUGACGGCCUUCGGGUUGUAAACCGCUUUCGCCUGUGACGAAGCGUGAGUGACGGUAAUGGGCAAAGAAGCACCGGCUAACUACGUG